rnacentral:rRNA from 1 species
UACGGAGGGUGCAAGCGUUAAUCGGAAUUACUGGGCGUAAAGCGUGCGCAGGCGGUUUGUUAAGUCCGUUGUGAAAGCCCCGAGCUCAACUUGGGAAUUGCAGUGGAUACUGGCAGGCUGGAGUACGGUAGAGGAAGGUGGAAUUCCCGGUGUAGCAGUGAAAUGCGUAGAUAUCGGGAGGAACACCGAUGGCGAAGGCAGCUCGCUGGGACGGUACUGACGCUGAGGCGCGAAAGCGUGGGGAGCAAACAGG